ensembl:lncRNA
GCCACCCGCACCGCCCGAAUCCCGAAGCGCUGGGAACCCGAGCCCGCGAGCCGGUCUGAGCGGUGGUGCUGACCCCGCCUUCUAUGAGAACUCCGAGUCGGGACCGGACGGCGCGGCCGGAUCCCCGCGCCUCAUCGGAAUUUGACCCUCGGAGCUCCGAGGGGACCCCUCUCUUUGCGGCCGGCCUCGAUCGGCUUCUCAGCACCCCGGCCCUGGCCCUAGCUCGGGAGAGGAUCAUGCAUGACACUGGAAGCCAGCAGUGAUGGAGCCACCUCAGAGGUUUCUAAGCCCGAAAAAGACAUGGAGCCAGAUGCAGAGGCUCUCGAAUCCGAGAACCGGGUGCUGAGGAGAGCUCCUUGGGCAGGUCACAGGUCUGGCCUGGCUCCCCGGGGGAAUGACGACGGAGUGCUCAGCUUGUGAGAAGAGGCGAGUCCUUUGAACGGAGAGCCCCGUCGGAGAGCAACCCCCCUACACACACACACAAUGGCCUCGGUCGCAGAUCGAGAGGGAGUCGGUACACGAGAUCGACGCCGGGGAGACGGCGCUGGCGGAGGGACUGCGCAGUGGCGUCCCCGGAGCGCGGCAAGAGGGUGGCCCGGCUGCUAGAGCACUUCUGUUCGCAGCUGGUAAGAGACAGCACCCGGGGGAUCAAAGUGGCACGACUCACCAGGGACAAUCAGUUGGGGCCCCAGGGGCUGAAGAAAUUCCGCCUAAUCACCAAGCAGAACAAAGGAGCUCGGAGGGCCGGGCCGGGCCUCUCCUCAAGGGCCUCCGGGCUUUGUCCCCUCUCCUGCAGUCUGUCACCGCCUUUCUUUCGCGGCCCGCUCUGCCCAGUGGAGGCGCCUAUGAGCCCUGCCCUGGGAAUCCCAGUCCUUACCCAGGCCUUGCUGCCCAGGGAAAAUCAAACAGCUUCCACUUCCAAUCUUUAAACCCUUGAUCCUUACCCUGGGAGGCUGGAGCCCAGGCGUCCAGGCUUCGUGACCCUGCCUCCCCUACAUGGGUCCCGCCUCGGUCUAGGGACCGAAGCAUCCUAAUCUGAGCCUUUGUCCUUUACCUCCGCCUCCCCCAUCCUACCGCGAUCA